UCCAUCGUGAGAUGGAAUCUGAAGGAAGCUGGAGGCAAAUUUCCGGCCCGAGGAACACGAACAUCAAUUCGAAUUACGGUUGAAACAAGAUUUACCAUGAGAAGUCAGCAGAGGCCAUAAUACCUCCUGUUGUCAACGACAAGCCGGCUGCGGAUGCGGUCCCUUUCGGCAAAUGGAUGUUCGC
rfam:Paenibacillus darwinianus strain Br genomic scaffold scaffold76, whole genome shotgun sequence.